rnacentral:rRNA from 1 species
ACGAACGCUGGCGGCGUGCUUAACCCAUGCACGUCGAACGGAAAGGCCCUGCUUUUGUGGGGUGCUCGAGUGGCGAACGGGUGAGUAACACGUGAGUAACCUGCCCUUGACUUUGGGAUAACUUCAGGAAACUGGGGCUAAUACCGGAUAGGAGCUCCUGCUGCCUGGUGGGGGUUGGAAAGUUUCGGCGGUUGGGGAUGGACUCGCGGCUUAUCAGCUUGUUGGUGGGGUAGUGGCUUACCAAGGCUUUGACGGGUAGCCGGCCUGAGAGGGUGACCGGCCACAUGGGGACUGAGAUACGGCCCAGAAUCCUACGGGAGGCAGCAGUCGGGAAUAUUGCACAAUGGGCGGAAGCCUGAUGCAGAAACGCCGCGUGCGGGAUGACGGCCUUCGGGUUGUAAACCGCUUUCGCCUGUGACGAAGCGUGCGUGACGGUAAUGAGUAAAGAAGCACCGGCUAACUACGUG